rnacentral:tRNA from 1 species
UUAGAACGUCGGCCUGUCACGCCGAAGGUCACGGGUUCGACCCCCGUCCGCCCCGCCA